rnacentral:tRNA from 1 species
GAAAAUAUGGUGUAUAAACACGACAGGUUGUAAACCUGUAGAAGCAAUAGCUUUUUUCA